GUUUUCUUCCAAUGUGCAAUUUCCCUUCCUACCACAAAGACUACAUUUCCAAGCCUCCCUGGCAGCUAGGUGUGGUCAUGUGACUAAGUUCUGGUCUUUAAGAAGUAAGAGGGUUUUCUGGAAAAUAUCCUUAGGAGGAAGAACAUGCCCUUUCCAUCCCCUUCCCUCCACUCCUUCUUCUUUUUCUCUGGAUAGCGCUAAAGAUGUGAUGGCUGGAGCUGUGGCAGCCAGUUAGGACCAUGUGGAAGAAGGCACUGCUGGCAAUGACAGAGCAACAAAGUAUGUGAAGCCCGGGAUUCUGAUGAUCAUGGAGCAGGCUUAGCCACACAAGACAAAUUAAUUGACCCUUGGGUGAAUUAAUGGCCUGUGGGUGCAAAAAGCCAAGAAGAAUUAUCUCUGUGAGACACGCCAGGCUCUGCAAACACUCCGUAUGCCCAUAGGGGAGUGACUGCGUGGGCCUCAGCUUGUUCAUCUUGGGGAUGAAAGGGGAUGAACUACAUCAAGUCUGUCAAAUAGGCUCCUGAAGGGGAGAAGUGAAGUCUGAAGUGAAGGAAGUCGUCCUGCGACCCAUGGAUCCGGCUCAUGAAGCUAACAGACUACUCCCGGCUGGAGCUUCGGAAUAAAAUUUAGAAGGUAGAAUGAAAUCAUAUUGCUGUUUUCAAAGGAA